rnacentral:lncRNA from 1 species
CCAACUAAUAAAUAAAUUACAAUACAAUGAAAAAUAAAAUGUGGGCCUUGAAAACUGUGUACAAGAUGAAAUAAUUUCUCAAAAUGUCAAUUAAGGCAUAUAUGUCGAACGGAAUCAUAAUAAACAAUCAUCUAGUGCGAUUGAAAAACAUUAAAGAGAGAGAGAGAGAGAGAGAGAGAGAUUUACUCUUGACAAUUUGAAUAGGGUGUCAUAGAAAGAUGUUUGAGGAUAGUGGCUGUAAGUUCAAAGUCUUUUUUUUUUUAUUUGAGUGAGGAGAUGAAUAAGAUGUGAAUAAGUAGAAAGGAAGGAAGGGGGUGACUGUGAUAAAUGAUAUGCGAAAGCGCUAUGCUUUACACGUUCUCUUUCAGGACAUUACCCCUGCGCGUAAUCAGCCUUGCUCUUUAAUGGGCUUUCCAUUUUCUUUUAGCUUGGCAAUAUAUUCUUUCAUUGCCUCCUUUCUCUUUUUGCUGGCCAGAUUUUUUGCCGUUA